GGAAGGCGGGGCUAGGCCGUCAUUCAACUUGGCCCCGCCGAUCAGGGCGGGACUACGCGCGCCCUGGGCCCGCCCAGGAAGGUUCCGCAGGUAGAAGGCAGGCGCCCGGUCUACGACGUCAUCGCGCUGACGCCGGCGUCCACUCGGCCCCGCCUGCUCCGUUGAAAAUGCCGAACCUAACAUGGCGGCGCGCGCUCGGCCCGCUUCACCCUGGUGUUUCCUCUCGCGCGGGCACUCUUCAGAGAGGAGAGACCCUCUUGGACAAGAGAGGCAGGCUGCAAAAGCCCACUGAACGUGCUUCUGAUAUUCAGGGAGAGGGAAACCCAGCCCCAGCGACCUGCAGAAAGAGGCGGCUUUGGCUUCCGUCACGUUGAGUGGUGCGGGUCCAUCAGAAGCUCCAAGGACACCCCUAAGGAUUCCGGUAUAUAUGACAUCAUUUCACUGGAAGUCAACACAGGUGUAUGUGUAGCUGUGCGUGUCAACAUAAUUACAUCAGAACAUUCACAGUUGAUCGCUUCUCUUUGAAGGAGGUAAGAAAAUGCCCACAUACUUACUUUUCCUUUUUUUUUU
rnacentral:lncRNA from 1 species